GAAUUCAUUUUAACGGCCGCGGUAUCCUAACCGUGCAAAGGUAGCAUAAUCACUUGUCCCUUAAAUAGGGACUUGUAUGAACGGUUAAAUGAGGGCUUAACUGUCUCCUGCAGCCAAUCAAUGAAAUUGAUCUCACAGUACAAACGCUGUGAUAUAACUAUAAGACGAGAAGACCCUGUGGAGCUUUAAACCUGCCACAUUAACUAUAACUACCCUAACCAUUUAUUAGUAUAAUGUAAGUUUUAAGUUGGGGCGACUAUGGAGUAAAAACUAACCUCCACGCAACACGAUUAAACCUCGUCACAUACGGCUAACAAGCCUAAUCAAAAUACACGACCCAGUCAAACUGAUCACCGAACCAAGUUACCCCAGGGAUAACAGCGCCAUCCCCUUAAAGAGUUCACAUCGCCAAGGGGGUUUACGACCUCGAUGUUGGAUCAGGACACCCAAGUGGUGCAGCAGCUACUAAAGGUUCGUUUGUUCAACGAGUAAUGUCCU
rnacentral:rRNA from 1 species